GGAAAGCUCUGCAGUUUGGCUGGAGGGGAAAAGGCUACAAAAGAAGAUCUGCCUUCCCACAGGAGAAAAAACCUCCCACCAGACCUCGAUUCAGGCUUAAAUUGUACAUACAUCUGGUACUGAUGUCUGGUACGUGACACUGAUGCUGUCAGCUAUACGACAGAACCUCCAGGUGGUUUCUCCUCAGAGAGCUACAACCAAAGUAGCUUGUUUCUGGCCAAUCCAGGACACAGAGGUUUUGAAGGGACACAAGAAAAAUAGAGCCAAAGUAAACAUCAGCAAUGAAAGAGGAGAGGAAGAAACAAAAAUAGCAAUGGAAAUCUGUCAGGAGGCUGAACGUGGUCUUUUGCAAUGCCUGUGUCUUCCCAGAUGCAACAAAACCGAGACUGGUGAGUGGCUCUGGACCAGCUUGUCAUUUCAGUCUUGAGUUGUGUCUUUGCACUCAAACAGUUUCUAGUAUGUGCCUUAAUUAAUUAAAUAGUAUAAUGUGUCCAAAGGAACCUCCUCCACCUCUUUCCUAAGGUAGUGGCUUGCUCAGAUGAUUUUUCAUUUAAAACCCCCAGUAAGACUGAUUCUUUUGAUA